rnacentral:rRNA from 1 species
GAUGAACGCUAGCGGCAGGCUUAAUACAUGCAAGUCGAGGGGUAGCAAGAUUGUAGCAAUACAAUUGUUGACGACCGGCAAACGGGUGCGGAACACGUACACAACCUUCCUACAAGUGGGGAAUAGCCCAGAGAAAUUCGGAUUAAUACCCCGUAACAUAGCGAUGUGGCAUCACAUUGCUAUUAUAGCUUCGGCGCUUGUUGAUGGGUGUGCGGCUGAUUAGAUAGUUGGCGGGGUAACGGCCCACCAAGUCUACGAUCAGUAGCUGAUGUGAGGGCAUGAUCAGCCACACGGGCACUGAGACACGGGCCCGACUCCUACGGGAGGCAGCAGUAAGGAAUAUUGGACAAUGGACGCAAGUCUGAUCCAGCCAUGCCGCGUGAAGGAUUAAGGUCCUCUGGAUUGUAAACUUCUUUUAUAAGGGACGAAAAAAGGUCUUUCUAGAUCGUCUGACGGUACCUUAUGAAUAAGCACCGGCUAACUCCGUGCCAGCCGCCGCCGUAACAC